rnacentral:tRNA from 1 species
GAGGAGUUUGGAAAAUGGUUGCGACGCCUAUGGCGUGUUGGUAGAUUAGAACGAAUGUUCGGUUCGGAUGGUUCUGAUUCCUAUGUUCCUUU